rnacentral:pre_miRNA from 1 species
UCUUACGGAUGAGCAAAGAAAAUGGUUUCUCAACACAGAAUCUACUCCUAGUGAAGAUGCUUUGAA